UACAGAGGGUGCAAGCGUUGUUCGGAAUUAUUGGGCGUAAAGCGCGCGUAGGCGGUUACUCAAGUCGGAUGUGAAAGCCCUCGGCUUAACUGAGGAAGUGCACCCGAAACUGAGUAGCUAGAGUACUAAAGAGGGUCGCGGAAUUCCCGGUGUAGAGGUGAAAUUCGUAGAUAUCGGGAGGAACACCGGUGGCGAAGGCGGCGACCUGGGUAGAUACUGACGCUGAGGCGCGAAAGCGUGGGGAGCAAACAGG
rnacentral:rRNA from 1 species